GAUGAACGCUGGCGGCGUGCCUAAUACAUGCAAGUCGAGCGGACAGACGAGGCGCUUGCUCCUCUGACGUUAGCGGCGGACGGGUGAGUAACACGUGGAUAACCUACCUAUAAGACUGGGAUCACUUCGGGAAACCGGAGAUAAUACCGGAUAAUCUAUUGAACCGCAUGGUUCAAUAGUGAAAGACGGUUUUGCUGUCACUUAUAGAUGGAUCCGCGCCGCAUUAGCUAGUUGGUAAGGUACCGGCUUACCAAGGCAACGAUGCGUAGCCGACCUGAGAGGGGGAUAGGCCACAUGGGAGCGGAGACACGGUCCAGACUCCUACGAGAGGCAGCAGUAGGGAAUCUGCCGCAGUGGGCGAAAGCCUGACGGAGCAACGCCGCGUGAGUGAUAGAGGUCUUCGGAUCGUAAAACUCUGUUAUUAGGGAAGAACAAAUUUGUAAGUAACUAUGCACGUCUUGACGGUACCUAAUCAGAAAGCCACGGCUAACUACGUG
rnacentral:rRNA from 1 species